AUUGAACGCUGGCGGCAGGCCUAACACAUGCAAGUCGAGCGAGCGGCGGACGGGUGAGUAAUGUCUGGGAAACUGCCUGAUGGAGGGGGAUAACUACUGGAAACGGUCGCUAAUACCGCAUACUAUUGGUGCGGCCGCUAUGGGAUUAGCUUGUUGGUGGGGUAACGGCUCAACAAGGCGACGAUCAGUAGCUGGUUUGAGAGGACGACCAGCCACACUGGAACUGAGACACGGCCCAGACUCCUACGGGAGGCAGCAGUGGGGAAUAUUGCACAAUGGGGGAAAGCCUGAUGCAGCCAUGCCGCGUGUGUGAUGAAGGCCUUCGGGUUGUAAAGCACUGUUAGCAGGGAAGCGGUACCUGCAGAAUAAGCACCGGCUAACUACGUGCCAGCAGCCGCGGUAAUAC
rnacentral:rRNA from 1 species